AGCGAACGCUGGCGGCAGGCCUAACACAUGCAAGUCGAACGGAUCCUUCGGGAUUAGUGGCGGACGGGUGAGUAACACGUGGGAACGUGCCCUUUGGUUCGGAACAACUCAGGGAAACUUGAGCUAAUACCGGAUGUGCCCUUCGGGGGAAAGAUUUAUCGCCAUUGGAGCGGCCCGCGUCUGAUUAGCUAGUUGGUGAGGGAACGGCCCACCAAGGCGACGAUCAGUAGCUGGUCUGAGAGGAUGAUCAGCCACACUGGGACUGAGACACGGCCCAGACUCCUACGCGAGGCAGCAGUGGGGAAUCUUGCGCAAUGGGCGAAAGCCUGACGCAGCCAUGCCGCGUGAAUGAUGAAGGUCUUAGGAUUGUAAAAUUCUUUCAGCGGGGACGAUAAUGACGGUACCCGCAGAAGAAGCUCCGGCUAACUUCGUG
rnacentral:rRNA from 1 species